AUAAUAGUAAUAUAUCAUGGAUAUUAACAUAAGUGAAAAACACAUGCACCCGAAAUAACUAGAAGAAAGCAAAGCAAAGCAAACGCCAAGAAGACACAAGAACCACUUGUAAUCUUCUCUCAAAAAAGAAAAAGAAACUACUAAUUAAUAUACACCACCAUUCAUCAUCACGAUUACAUCACAUUAGUAACACUUUCAUUGAGCCUAGCAGCCGCAGCAGUAGAAGCAGCUACACCACCAGGAGUAGCAGUAGCAUCAGGACUGUUCCUCAUCUCCGCACUCGCCACCCCCGCAGCAUCAACGGAACAGCGGCGGAAUAGACGGCCGUUGAAGCGUCAUCGAGGACAAAGAACAUCGCUCAGCUUAAUCUUCUCAUCCUCACGAGGACAAUCAGCAUUAAAAGCUGCAGCUGAUUGAGCCAUUGAAUCUAACCCUCCCGGUGUUAUAACAUUACUCCCCGUAGCUCUCACCUCCGCCGCCUGUAUUGCGGCGGCAUCACUCUGUUCCACUGGCUUUUGGCCCACGGUAUGUGAUGUCGCCUCCAGUGCUUCCCCUAUGGUUAAGGCACUCUCUUGAACCGGACUGGUUGGAGCACACUGAAGCGGAGUCGGUUCAACAAAUUGUCCAACAACCUUAAAUUUAGCAGAACACGAGGUUAAAAAUAAGUGAAGUUAAAACAGAAAAGUUUGUAAAGGGAAUUAACAGAGCCGCUGGUUAAGAACCUGUCCACCGACUGAUUCGGUUACUAUGCGUCUUCCUGGGAGUUGAGUUUCGUGACGGUGAUGCCACGGUCGCCGGUGACAUCUGUGACAUCUUUGUGCCCGACGAUUCCUGCCUGCUCAUUCUUAGUAGCGGCUGCUUGCAUGACGGAUGCUACUCCGCCGGGUUGGGUCUGGCCCAACACACGGCUCACACGGUCGCCGGUGACAUCUGUGACAUCUUUGUGCCCGACGAUUCCUGCCUGCUCAUUCUUAGUAGCGGCUGCUUGCAUGACGGAUGCUACUCCGCCGGGUUGGGUCUGGCCCAACACACGGCUCUCAGCGCUCUGCAUCAUGGCGGCGUCUUCUGGCGCAAUGGGCUUCUGUGCGAGGUCACCGGAAACGGGUAAAACGUCGCCGUAUUUAAAUUGUGUGUAUGUUUGCUUUGUUUGUGCUGUUUAGGAUAGCUUGCUGCCUGUGCAAGUUAGAUAGAAACCUCAACCUAGGACCAUGGUGGAUUUAUAUGAUAACUAUUAGGCUCGAGUCAGACUCCCUUCUAGUUUGUCAUUUCCCCGUCUCUGAUUAGGUUAGAAGUUUCUCCCCUGUUAAGGGGAACUACGUUGCCCUGAUCCUCAUACCAGAUGAGGUACGUAGGCAGGAGGUCGUACGAGAUCUCUCCGGGCACCCUUUUUCUUUUUGUGUGUGUUUGCUUGACAGAUGCCCUGAUCCUCAUACCAGAUGAGGUACGUAGGCAGGAGGUCGUACGAGAUCUCUCCGGGCACCCUUUUUCUUUUUGUGUGUGUUUGCUUGACAGUUAUUAGGCUCGAGUUCCAGACUCCCUAUUAACUCGUCUGUUGGUUAACCUUCGGGUGUGUGUUAGGAGACGGAUGUAAGACCAGCGAUUGGCAGUCCGUAUCCUAUUCGUGGUUUGUUUGUGUGGAGUCUGACGUAAGUCCAGCGAUUGACAGUUGGUUUCCUGUGUUUGUUUGUUGGUUCGGAGUCUGAUGUAAGUCCAGCGAUUGGCAUUCGGUUUCCAUGCUUGCCUGUUUGUGUGGAGUCUGACGUAAGUCCAGCGAUUGGCAGUCGGUUUCCAGUGUGGGUUUUGUUUGGCGUGCGUGAGCCGAACUACGGUAGCUCUAAUUCUCAUUCCCGAUGAGAUACGUAGGCAUAGGAUGCGAUAUCCUAGCGAGCCCGUUCCCCUCUUCUUCCAUCUGUGUUGUUUCCAGUGUGUGCGUGCAUUCUUUUGAGCGGUGUUUAGCAACCUUUCUUCUAUUCUUUUGAGUGUGGAUCCCGUCGAGUACGACAGAUGCGUAGGGGUGCCAAUACCUUCCCUUCGCAUAACCGACUCCCGAUCCCAUCUCUCUCUGGUCGCGAGACCAUGUCUUUUCCAGGUUUACUUCGAGCGUUUCCUUUCCCUCUUUUGGGAUAAAUAACGAGACCAUGUCUUUUCCAGGUUUACUUCGAGCGUUUCCUUUCCCUCUUUUGGGAUAAAUAACGCACGGUGGCGGCUCUGUUUGUUUUGUUUUUGCCCGCCGGUUGUUUUUCGCGGAUGCGACACCCAUUAAUCGAUCAGUCAGUGCUCUAGAUAAGAAUGUUGGAAUUAAACCCAAAACUUUGAGUAAUUCCAAGUCAAUCUUGAUAAACAAGAUUCAAUCAACCGAUCAAAUUUUCUCAUGUUUUCACUCUUCACUCGAGUGAAUCAACCAACAUUGAUUGCGAGAUUGUAUCGCUGCACAACGAUGAUGAAAAUAAGAUAAGAAAAUUAAAUUUAGGAAGAAAGGAAAUUAAAGUUUUAUCGAGAGAGGGAAAGAAGAAGAGUUUUUGUAGAGUAAUUUUCUACUCUCAAACUGAGAUUUUAUUCUUUACAACUGCAAGAUUCAAGUAUUUACAAUAAUAUGGAUUACUCCCUAUUUAUAGAUUUUGGGCUUAUUUACUUCUCAAGAAAGAUCUAAAACUAACCUAACUAAUUCAGUUAAACAAACAAAUAAAAUUAAAUCCAACAUUACUGUCGCGAUACUCUUCGACAUUUUCGACACCUAGGUGAUUCGACACUUCUUUACUUCUGUCGAACAACAUGCUUCGACACAUGGAAUUACAAUUCGACAGUCAUUUGUAAAGAAUCAAUCUUCCAUCAUCCAAAUCAAAUCAAAUAAAACGUAUAAAAUAAAUCAUACAAAACAUAACAACUUAAGUGAAAUCAAAUCUAUAGAGUUCCUAUUUUACAAUUAUUUUAUGGGUGAAUAUACAUGCUUCUAAACCUAAAUGAUCUGAAUAUAUACCAACACAUGUAAUCUGACACACGAACAAUCCAAUGCGCAUGCAAGAGAUGCAUAUUAUGCAUGCCUUUCAGAACUCUCACUAAAUUACAUCAUUUUAAUAUUCAUUUUUCACAAACUAAAUCUUUCUCAAACAUAAUCAAAAUUCUCUCAUUCACAUCACAAUCACUAUAAAAAAAUCACAAAAAAAAAUAAAAUUUCAUCCUAGUCACAUUAUCAUUCUCAAAAAUGUAUUAUAUAAAACUAUACAUUAUUUAUAUAAAACUAUACAUUAUCAUUCUCAAAAAUGUAUUAUAUAAAACUAUUAUUCAUAUUGAAUAUGAUUGUGUUUCAAUUCACUUUUUCUCUUAAAAAAAAUUAUGCAUUAUUUCAUUUACUUUUAUAAUAUCUAAUUAUUUACUUCUAUAAUAUCUAAUUAUUAAUCGGAUAAUCAAUAUAUUAUAAUAUCUAAUUAUUAAUAUUAUAUAAUUAAUAAUAUCUAACUAUUAAUAUCGCUACAAUCAUUUUAUUCCGUGACUCCUCACUAAUUUUGUUUUUGAUCAUUUGUAAUUUUUUUACUCCCUUUGACUCUGAUAAUUUACAAAUAAAUAUAAAAAAAGUAAAGUUUUUAAAUUAGAUAAAAAUAAAUUACUCCAAAAUAGAAUUCAAACUGAUACAAAUAUUACUUACGUUCAUUUUAACUCUAAAGUUUAUCAAUUAAAUAAAUAAAAAUAAUGAACUCUAAAGUUUAUCAAUUAAAUAAAUAAAAAUAAGAUAAAUAUAAAAUGUCAAACAGAGGAAUUUUUUUUUAACAGCUUAGUUGAUUCCGAUUUACUAUAGCAGGUUUUUUAUGAACAAAAAGAUUAUUUCUUUUCCUUUUUUAUUUGUUAUUUAAUUAUUCCCUUAGUUACUUAUCAUACCCCUUUUAUUUUUAAAACUUAAUUAAAUUAAACUAAGUAGUCACUUAUUUAUUUUAUUCGUUUAUACUAAAAUAUCAUUGAUCAAAUAUUCUAAUAUUCUAAUAAGCUCCAUUUUAUUUUGUUGAUCAUCCCAUUUUGGAUGAGUUAGUUGCAUAUUUGAUUUAUAUAUGUGAUUUUGAAAAUUUAUUAAUAAUCGGCCACUAAAUUAACUAUAAUAGUAAUCUAUCAUGGAUAUUAACAUAAGUGAAAAACACAUACACCCGAAAUAACUUGAACAAAAGCAAAGCAAACACCAAGAAGACACAAGAACCACUUGUAAUCUUCUCUCAAAAAAGAAAAAGAAACUACUAAUUAAUAUACACCACCAUUCAUCAUCACGGUUACAUUACAUUAGUAACACUUUCAUUGAGCCUAGCAGCCGCAGCAACAGAAGCAGCUACACCACCAGGAGUAGCAGUAGCAUCAGGACUGUUCCUCAUCUCCGCACUCGCCACCCCCGCAGCAUC
rnacentral:lncRNA from 1 species